rnacentral:rRNA from 1 species
UACGUAGGGUCCGAGCGUUGUCCGGAAUUAUUGGGCGUAAAGAGCUCGUAGGCGGUUUGUCGCGUCUGCUGUGAAAUCCCGAGGCUCAACCUCGGGCCUGCAGUGGGUACGGGCAGACUUGAGUGCGGUAGGGGAGAAUGGAAUUCCUGGUGUAGCGGUGAAAUGCGCAGAUAUCAGGAGGAACACCUAUGGCGAAGGCAGCUCGCUGGGACGGUACUGACGCUGAGACGCGAAAGCGUGGGGAGCGAACAGG